rnacentral:rRNA from 1 species
AUUGAACGCUGGCGGCAGGCCUAACACAUGCAAGUCGAACGAGUGGCGGACGGGUGAGUAAUGUCUGGGAAACUGCCUGAUGGAGGGGGAUAACUACUGGAAACGGUAGAUAAUACCGCAUACCAUCAGAUGUGCCCAGAUGGGAUUAGCGUGUGCGUUGGGUAACGGCUCACCAAGGCGACGAUCCCUAGCUGGUCUGAGAGGGUGACCAGCAACACGGGAACUGGAACCCGGUCCAGACUCCUACGGGAGGCAUCAUGGGGGAAUAUUGCACAAUGGUGGCAAGCCUGAUGCAGCCAUGCCGCGUGUAUGAAGAAGGCCUUCGGGUUGUAAAGUACUUUCAGCGGGGAGGCGUUACCCGCAGAAGAAGCACCGGCUAACUCCGUGCCAGCAGCCGCGGUAAUUC